rnacentral:rRNA from 1 species
UUGAUCCUGGCUCAGGAUGAACGCUAGCUACAGGCUUAACACAUGCAAGUCGAGGGGAAACGACAUCGAAAGCUCGCUUUCGAUGGGCGUCGACCGGCGCACGGGUGAGUAACGCGUAUCCAACCUGCCCAUCACUUGGGGAUAACCUUGCGAAAGUAAGACUAAUACCCAAUGACGUCUCUAGAAGACAUCUGAAGGAGAUUAAAGAUUUAUCGGUGAUGGAUGGGGAUGCGUCUGAUUAGCUUGUUGGCGGGGUAACGGCCCACCAAGGCGACAAUCAGUAGGGGUUCUGAGAGGAAGGUCCCCCACAUUGGAACUGAGACACGGUCCAAACUCCUACGGGAGGCAGCAGUGAGGAAUAUUGGUCAAUGGGCGAGAGCCUGAACCAGCCAAGUAGCGUGCAGGAUGACGGCCCUAUGGGUUGUAAACUGCUUUUAUAAGGGAAUAAAGUGAGCCUCGUGAGGCUUUUUGCAUGUACCUUAUGAAUAAGGACCGGCUAAUUCCGUGCCAGCAGCCGCGGUAAUACGGAAGGUCCGGGCGUUAUCCGGAUUUAUUGGGUUUAAAGGGAGCGUAGGCCGGAGAUUAAGCGUGUUGUGAAAUGUAGACGCUCAACGUCUGCACUGCAGCGCGAACUGG